AUGACAAAACAGGUUUUGGAUGAUCGGUCAAAGGUUGUGGAAAGCAGCGGGGAGAGACAGGACGCCCAGCCGAGGAGGGAACGCAGGAGGCCGGACAGAUCUAGUGGGCUGCAUCGACGAAACGGACCAUUAGACAGGGAAAAGCCAUGGCUCACAACUCUGGUCGAUCAGGUAAGCGCAGGGCUCUCUUUUCGUCUCACCAAACAGUGUGAAUGUUUAUUUUCUAGCGGUAGGGGUGAGUCUCCGUCAGCUCAGGUAAGAACAUACAGUAGGUACUUUACAAACGCAUACUUGACCAGCGACUAACCUUUAUUGACCGCCCUAUACUGUUGCACGUCUGCUCUUAAGGUAGUUCUUUGCGUGCUGAAAAGUCUGGCAUUUGCCUUGUCAAUCUGUACAUUUAAUGUGGCAACUGAUUCACGCUGGGAUUAUGCUGUAUUAUGCGAUGUUAUUAGCUGGGCCCGUGUGUUGACAUAAGUGCUCACUGUAAUCUAUAAUAGUAUUACUGCGGGAUCUCCCAUUGCAUCAUUCAAAUAUUAAUUUCCCCCAAACAUCAGCCUUUUUGCGAUUGCAUAUUGUUUUAUGGCAAUAUUAACAUUACAUAAAUUAAGAUUUCCAACGUUAUUAUUAUUAUUAUUACUACUAGUACUGUCGUCGUUGUUGUUAUUAAUAGGCUAUUAGGCUACUGUUGUUGUCGUUGUUGUUUAUGCUGUUCGGUUAAUUGAAAACAUAGAUCAUGCUAAUUCACUUUUCUAUUUUGGGUGUAAAUGCGAAGAUCAAUAUAACACUUGUAAUAAUCUAAUUAAUUAUGGUAAAAUUAAAAGCAAGUACAAAAUCAAUCUCUGAUGCUGUGGACAGAACUCAAUUGAUGGUCCAUCUGUUCACUCUAUAGACAUCAUGAAUUGGUAAUCUAAAGACAGCUGAUAUCAUGACUGGCGUUGUGAAUGCCGUUUUGUUGUUUUGGUUACAGCGGUCAAAUUUUUGGAUACUUCAUAUUUUUGUUUAUUGAGGUAUUGGAUUUUAAAACAUCUCAAUUGUAAUUAAUAUAGGAAAGAUGAUUAAUUUAUCGAUAAAACUGUUUUUGUAUAAUUUAGGUAGGCUAUUGGGCAAAACACUAAUAUCAGUAUUACUAUAUUAUCAUUAUUACUUUUAGCCUACUAUUAAUGCCAGUGUUAUUUGCAAAAUUCUUCCAUCUGUUUAAUUUCUGUGAUAGCCUCUAAACUUGACCGGAGAUUGUUUAAACUUUUUUCAGUUAUAAUUUUUUUUCCAAUGAAAAUAAUGGGGUUUUUUUUGUGUGUGUGUGUGUGUGUGUGUGUGUGUGUUUGUGUGUGAUAACUCAUUACAUCUCGAAAAACACAACUAAAUACGCUAUUUUAAAACAAUCCGUCGACUGAAAUUCGCAGUAAGCGUAUAUCAGAUUUCUUAAAAUUCCAUUAUGGGUUACUCCUGCUGUAAAAGCUAAGGAUACUUGCAUUCAGCUAUAGACGUGGACAGCAGGUUUAGUGGAGUGGAAAGUAUCGAUUGGUGACGUUGAGAAUAUUACAGUGAAUGAGAUGAAACCUAUGGGCUUUUUAAAAGUGGAAAUAGAAAUAUUGGAUAGUGGAACAGAAGUGAUUUUCUGCGUUCUCAGUGGACGUUAAUCGCUGUUCACUUUGACUAACAAACUUAUGUGGUGUAUAGCAGAGGCUGUCAAAACAGAUGCACUAUACCACUGCACCUUCUCUCACUUUCUCUGUCUGUCUCUCUCUUUGACACGUUCGAUCACUCUCUCCCAAUCGUUCUCUCAAGAGUAAAACCUCCUGGGUUGGUCUAAUAUAAAAAUGCAAAAUGUAAAACGUGUUUUCAAACAAAUCAGACCAUUUAUUUAUUUAUUUAUUUUAUUGUUUUUUUUUUUUUGUUGUUGUUGUUGUUGUUGUUUUUUUGCAUGUUUCUUGUUUAUUUAAAAUGGCACGUUUGCAAUUUAUUACACCUCUUCCAUUGCCAGAAAAAGUCCCAAUAUCCCGCUUUUAGUAUUCAGUGGCCACUACGAUCAGUUGCAAUUAGUUUUCCUAUCAUUUAACAGAGGAAGUAACUAAUAUAGUAAAGGGGAGUGGAGGCAAAAAGCUGGGGUCUUGCGGGGAAAUAAAAGCAGCUUUAGGGGAAAUGUGUAGUCGAGU
ensembl:lncRNA